rnacentral:rRNA from 1 species
GAUGAACGCUGGCGGCGUGCUUAACACAUGCAAGUCGAACGAACCUUCGGGUUAGUGGCGGACGGGUGAGUAACGCGUGAGAAUCUGCCCUCAGGGAGGGGGACAACAGCUGGAAACGGCUGCUAAUACCCCAUAUGCCGCGAGGUGAAAUGAAUUUCGCCUGAGGAUGAGCUCGCGUCUGAUUAGCUAGUUGGUGUAGGUAAUGGCUCACCAAGGCAUCGAUCAGUAGCUGGUCUGAGAGGAUGAUCAGCCACACUGGGACUGAGACACGGCCCAGACUCC